rnacentral:rRNA from 1 species
ACUCUACGGGAGGCAGCAGUGGGGAAUAUUGCACAAUGGGGGAAACCCUGAUGCAGCCAUGCCGCGUGUGUGAAGAAGGCCUUCGGGUUGUAAAGCACUUUCAGUAGGGAGGAAGGUAGUGUAGUUAACACCUGCAUUAUUUGACGUUACCUACAGAAGAAGCACCGGCUAACUCCGUGCCAGCAGCCGCGGUAAUACGGAGGGUGCGAGCGUUAAUCGGAAUUACUGGGCGUAAAGCGCAUGCAGGCGGCCUGUUAAGUCAGAUGUGAAAGCCCGGGGCUUAACCUCGGAAUUGCAUUUGAAACUGGCAGGCUAGAGUCUUGUAGAGGGGGGUAGAAUUUCAGGUGUAGCGGUGAAAUGCGUAGAGAUCUGAAGGAAUACCAGUGGCGAAGGCGGCCCCCUGGACAAAGACUGACGCUCAGAUGCGAAAGCGUGGGGAGCAAACAGGAUUAGAUACCCUGGUAGGAUAGCG